GAAGCUGACCAGACAGUCGCCGCUUUGUUGCCGUCCCCUUCGGGGAGACAGACAAAGGGGAGGAAAGUCCGGGCUCCAUAGGGCAGGGUGCCAGGUAACGCCUGGGGGGCGCAAGCCCACGACCAGUGCAACAGAGAGCAAACCGCCGAUGGUUCUCCGAAAGAUUUCAGGCUGCGGCAAGGCGGCAACCGAACGAAUCCCCGGGAGCUUAGGUAACUAAGUGACCGGGGUGAGUGAGGGCAGCCAACGCAGCUGCAGUCUGAAAGAUGAAGGAGAAAUCAGGUAAGGGUGAAAGGGUGCGGUAAGAGCGCACCGCGCGGCUGGUAACAGUUCGCGGCACGGUAAACUCCACCCGGAGCAAGGCCAAAUAGGGGUUCACAAGGUACGGCCCGUACUGAACCCGGGUAGGCUGCUUGAGCCAGUGAGCGAUUGCUGGCCUAGAUGAAUGACUGUCCACGACAGAACCCGGCUUACCGGUCAGCUUCAACU
rnacentral:RNase_P_RNA from 1 species